GGGGUUGUGGCUCAGUAGCAGAGCGCUUGCCUGGCAUGUAUGAGGCACUGGGUUUGAUUCUCAGCACCA
rnacentral:tRNA from 1 species